GCUCAGAUUGAACGCUGGCGGCAGGCCUAACACAUGCAAGUCGAGCGGAAACGAGUUAUCUGAACCUUCGGGGAACGAUAACGGCGUCGAGCGGCGGACGGGUGAGUAAUGCCUAGGAAAUUGCCCUGAUGUGGGGGAUAACCAUUGGAAACGAUGGCUAAUACCGCAUGAUGCCUACGGGCCAAAGAGGGGGACCUUCGGGCCUCUCGCGUCAGGAUAUGCCUAGGUGGGAUUAGCUAGUUGGUGAGGUAAGGGCUCACCAAGGCGACGAUCCCUAGCUGGUCUGAGAGGAUGAUCAGCCACACUGGAACUGAGACACGGUCCAGACUCCUACGGGAGGCAGCAGUGGGGAAUAUUGCACAAUGGGCGCAAGCCUGAUGCAGCCAUGCCGCGUGUGUGAAGAAGGCCUUCGGGUUGUAAAGCACUUUCAGUCGUGAGGAAGGUAGUGUAGUUAAUAGCUGCAUUAUUUGACGUUAGCGACAGAAGAAGCACCGGCUAACUCCGUGCCAGCAGCCGCGGUAAUACGGAGGGUGCGAGCGUUAAUCGGAAUUACUGGGCGUAAAGCGCAUGCAGGUGGUUUGUUAAGUCAGAUGUGAAAGCCCGGGGCUCAACCUCGGAAUAGCAUUUGAAACUGGCAGACUAGAGUACUGUAGAGGGGGGUAGAAUUUCAGGUGUAGCGGUGAAAUGCGUAGAGAUCUGAAGGAAUACCGGUGGCGAAGGCGGCCCCCUGGACAGAUACUGACACUCAGAUGCGAAAGCGUGGGGAGCAAACAGGAUUAGAUACCCUGGUAGUCCACGCCGUAAACGAUGUCUACUUGGAGGUUGUGGCCUUGAGCCGUGGCUUUCGGAGCUAACGCGUUAAGUAGACCGCCUGGGGAGUACGGUCGCAAGAUUAAAACUCAAAUGAAUUGACGGGGGCCCGCACAAGCGGUGGAGCAUGUGGUUUAAUUCGAUGCAACGCGAAGAACCUUACCUACUCUUGACAUCCAGAGAACUUUCCAGAGAUGGAUUGGUGCCUUCGGGAACUCUGAGACAGGUGCUGCAUGGCUGUCGUCAGCUCGUGUUGUGAAAUGUUGGGUUAAGUCCCGCAACGAGCGCAACCCUUAUCCUUGUUUGCCAGCGAGUAAUGUCGGGAACUCCAGGGAGACUGCCGGUGAUAAACCGGAGGAAGGUGGGGACGACGUCAAGUCAUCAUGGCCCUUACGAGUAGGGCUACACACGUGCUACAAUGGCGCAUACAGAGGGCGGCCAACUUGCGAAAGUGAGCGAAUCCCAAAAAGUGCGUCGUAGUCCGGAUUGGAGUCUGCAACUCGACUCCAUGAAGUCGGAAUCGCUAGUAAUCGUGGAUCAGAAUGCCACGGUGAAUACGUUCCCGGGCCUUGUACACACCGCCCGUCACACCAUGGGAGUGGGCUGCAAAAGAAGUAGGUAGUUUAACCUUCGGGGGGGACGCUUACCACUUUGUGGUUCAUGACUGGGGGUGAAGUCU
rnacentral:rRNA from 1 species